rnacentral:rRNA from 1 species
AAUAGCUCACUGGUCAAGUGGUUCUGCGCCGACAAUGUAGCGGGGCUCAAGCGCACCGCCGAAGCCGUGGCAGCAGCGCUUUUCGCCCUCCUCCCCCCUUUUGGAUGGGGUGGUGGGUGCGCUGCUGGGUAGGGGAGCGUCCUGCGCGGGGCGAAGCCCGGGGGUGACCCCUGGUGGACCGCGUGGGAGUGAGAAUGCAGGCAUGAGUAACGAAUUCUGCGGUGGGAAUCCGCAGCGCCGAUUGACUAAGGGUUCCAGGGCCAGGUUCAUCCGCCCUGGGUUAGUCGGGUCCUAAGGCGAGGCCGACAGGCGUAGUCGAUGGUCGACCAGUUGAUAUUCUGGUACCGCGCGGCGACCGCCAGUGCCGAUACCGCUGUGCUAACCGCCCGCACCGCCCUCUCCUGCGCUUUCGGGCGCGGGGGUGGGGGGUGUCGCGGGGCCCCGGUGGUGGAGGCAAGCGUGUUGACAGGGGUGACGCAGGAAGGUAGCCGCAAUGCGCCGGUGGUUGUGCGUAUUCAAGGCUGUGGCCCGUCCCCCAGGCAAAUCCGGGGGGCAUGUGGGUGAGGGCUGAGGAGGGACACACGCGUGUGUGGACUUGUGGUGAUCCUAUGCUGCCGAGAAAAACCCCGACGUGAGGGCGCCGCGCGCCCGUACCCCAAACCGACUCAGGUGGUCAGGUAGAGCAUACCGAGGCGUUCGAGUGAAUCAUGGUUAAGGAACUCGGCAAAAUUCCUCCGUAACUUCGGGAUAAGGAGGACCCCUUGGCCUGAUCCCGCCGCGCGCGGGGGCGGGGCCGGGGGGUCGCAGAGAAUAGGGAGAAGCGACUGUUUAUCAAAAACACAGGUGCGUGCGAAGCCGCAAGGCGAUGUAUACGCACUGACGCCUGCCCGGUGCUGGAAGGUCAAGAGGAGCCCUCAGCCCCCCCAGUGGGGGCGAAGGGGCGAAUUCAAGCCCCAGUAAACGGCGGUGGUAACUAUAACCAUCCUAAGGUAGCGAAAUUCCUUGUCGGGUAAGUUCCGACCUGCACGAAUGGCGUAACGACUUCUCCGCUGUCUCAACCGUGAACUCGGUGAAAUUGCAGUACGAGUAAAGAUGCUCGUUUCGCGCAGAAGGACGGAAAGACCCCGGGACCUUUACUAUAGCUUGGUAUUGGCGCCCGCUAUAGCUUGUGCAGGAUAGGUGGGAGACGUUGAAGCCGUUACGCCAGUAGCGGUGGAGUCGUCCUUGAAAUACCACUCUGGUUAUGGCGUGCGCCUGAACCUGGGCCCGUGAUCCGGGUCAGGGACAGUGCCUGGUGGGUAGUUUAACUGGGGCGGUUGCCUCCUAAAAGGUAACGGAGGCGCUCAAAGGUCCCCUCAGCCUGGUUGGCAAUCAGGUGGCGAGUGCAAGUGCACAAGGGGGCUUGACUGUGAGACCGACGGGUCGAGCAGGUGCGAAAGCAGGAACUAGUGAUCCGGCCAUGGCACGUGGGUGCGUGGUCGCUCAACGGAUAAAAGGUACCCCGGGGAUAACAGGCUGAUCUUGCCCAAGAGUCCAUAUCGACGGCAUGGUUUGGCACCUCGAUGUCGGCUCGUCGCAUCCUGGGGCUGGAGUAGGUCCCAAGGGUUGGGCUGUUCGCCCAUUAAAGCGGCACGCGAGCUGGGUUUAGAACGUCGUGAGACAGUUCGGUCUCUAUCCGCCGCGCGCGU